UUACGGCCAUAUCACCUUGAAGCACCGGUUCCCGUAUAAUCACUGAAGUUAAGCAAAAUUGGGCUUGGUCAGUACCUAGGUGGGUGACUGCUUAGAGUUACCGGAUGCUGUAU